ACUCUAAGCGGUGGAUCACUCGGCUCAUGGGUCGAUGAAGAACGCAGCAAACUGUGCGUCAUCGUGUGAACUGCAGGACACAUGAACAUCGACAUUUUGAACGCAUAUCGCAGUCCAUGCUGUUAUGUACUUUAAUUAAUUUUAUAGUGCUGCUUGGACUACAUAUGGUUGAGGGUUGUAAGACUAUGCUAAUUAAGUUGCUUAUAAAUUUUUAUAAGCAUAUGGUAUAUUAUUGGAUAAAUAUAAUAAUUUUUAUUCAUAAUAUUAAAAAAUAAAUGAAAAACAUUAUCUCACAUUUGAAUGUGAAAAACGAAGAGAAAUAUUUUCUUUUUCAAUCAAAUAAUACUGAGAAAUGUCUAGCAUAAAAAAUUGAAAUAUUUUUCAUCUAGAAUUGUCUCUUAUUAAUGAUUCGGAAAUAGAAAAAUCUUGGUUAUGUUAUUAUUCUUCGUUGGUUCGUUAAAAAUGGAUAAAUAAAAACUUUGCAUACAAGAAUUAAUAAAAAUGUUAUAACGAAUUUAAUUAAAUGUUUUAUCAUUAUAUAUAAAGAAUUUAUGGCAAGAUAAAGUUAUAUACAACCUCAACUCAUAUGGGACUACCCCCUGAAUUUAAGCAUAUUAAUUAGGGGAGGAAAAGAAACUAACAAGGAUUUUCUUAGUAGCGGCGAGCGAAAAGAAAACAGUUCAGCACUAAGUCACUUUGUCUAUAUGGCAAAUGUGAGAUGCAGUGUAUGGAGCGUCAAUAUUCUAGUAUGAGAAAUUAACGAUUUAAGUCCUUCUUAAAUGAGGCCAUUUACCCAUAGAGGGUGCCAGGCCCGUAUAACGUUAAUGAUUACUAGAUGAUGUUUCCAAAGAGUCGUGUUGCUUGAUAGUGCAGCACUAAGUGGGUGGUAAACUCCAUCUAAAACUAAAUAUAACCAUGAGACCGAUAGUAAACAAGUACCGUGAGGGAAAGUUGAAAAGAACUCUGAAUAGAGAGUUAAACAGUACGUGAAACUGCUUAGAGGUUAAGCCCGAUGAACCUGAAUAUCCGUUAUGGAAAAUUCAUCAUUAAAAUUGUAAUAUUUAAAUAAUAUUAUGAGAAUAGUGUGCAUUUUUUCCAUAUAAGGACAUUGUAAUCUAUUAGCAUAUACCAAAUUUAUCAUAAAAUAUAACUUAUAGUUUAUUCCAAUUAAAUUGCUUGCAUUUUAACACAGAAUAAAUGUUAUUAAUUUGAUAAAGUGCUGAUAGAUUUAUAUGAUUACAGUGCGUUAAUUUUUCGGAAUUAUAUAAUGGCAUAAUUAUCAUUGAUUUUUGUGUUUAUUAUAUGCACUUGUAUGAUUAACAAUGCGAAAGAUUCAGGAUACCUUCGGGACCCGUCUUGAAACACGGACCAAGGAGUCUAACAUAUGUGCAAGUUAUUGGGAUAUAAACCUAAUAGCGUAAUUAACUUGACUAAUAAUGGGAUUAGUUUUUUAGCUAUUUAUAGCUAAUUAACACAAUCCCGGGGCGUUCUAUAUAGUUAUGUAUAAUGUAUAUUUAUAUUAUUUAUGCCUCUAACUGGAACGUACCUUGAGCAUAUAUGCUGUGACCCGAAAGAUGGUGAACUAUACUUGAUCAGGUUGAAGUCAGGGGAAACCCUGAUGGAAGACCGAAACAGUUCUGACGUGCAAAUCGAUUGUCAGAAUUGAGUAUAGGGGCGAAAGACCAAUCGAACCAUCUAGUAGCUGGUUCCUUCCGAAGUUUCCCUCAGGAUAGCUGGUGCAUUUUAAUAUUAUAUAAAAUAAUCUUAUCUGGUAAAGCGAAUGAUUAGAGGCCUUAGGGUCGAAACGAUCUUAACCUAUUCUCAAACUUUAAAUGGGUAAGAACCUUAACUUUCUUGAUAUGAAGUUCAAGGUUAUGAUAUAAUGUGCCCAGUGGGCCACUUUUGGUAAGCAGAACUGGCGCUGUGGGAUGAACCAAACGUAAUGUUACGGUGCCCAAAUUAACAACUCAUGCAGAUACCAUGAAAGGCGUUGGUUGCUUAAAACAGCAGGACGGUGAUCAUGGAAGUCGAAAUCCGCUAAGGAGUGUGUAACAACUCACCUGCCGAAGCAACUAGCCCUUAAAAUGGAUGGCGCUUAAGUUGUAUACCUAUACAUUACCGCUAAAGUAGAUGAUUUAUAUUACUUGUGAUAUAAAUUUUGAAACUUUAGUGAGUAGGAAGGUACAAUGGUAUGCGUAGAAGUGUUUGGCGUAAGCCUGCAUGGAGCUGCCAUUGGUACAGAUCUUGGUGGUAGUAGCAAAUAAUCGAAUGAGACCUUGGAGGACUGAAGUGGAGAAGGGUUUCGUGUGAACAGUGGUUGAUCACGAGUUAGUCGGUCCUAAGUUCAAGGCGAAAGCCGAAAAUUUUCAAGUAAAACAAAAAUGCCUAACUAUAUAAACAAAGCGAAUUAUAAUACACUUGAAUAAUUUUGAACGAAAGGGAAUACGGUUCCAAUUCCGUAACCUGUUGAGUAUCCGUUUGUUAUUAAAUAUGGGCCUCGUGCUCAUCCUGGCAACAGGAACGACCAUAAAGAAGCCGUCGAGAGAUAUCGGAAGAGUUUUCUUUUCUGUUUUAUAGCCGUACUACCAUGGAAGUCUUUCGCAGAGAGAUAUGGUAGAUGGGCUAGAAGAGCAUGACAUAUACUGUUGUGUCGAUAUUUUCUCCUCGGACCUUGAAAAUUUAUGGUGGGGACACGCAAACUUCUCAACAGGCCGUACCAAUAUCCGCAGCUGGUCUCCAAGGUGAAGAGUCUCUAGUCGAUAGAAUAAUGUAGGUAAGGGAAGUCGGCAAAUUAGAUCCGU
rnacentral:rRNA from 1 species